GAUGAACGCUAGCGGCAGGCUUAACACAUGCAAGUCGAGGGGUAGAGUUAGCCUGCUAACUUGAGACCGGCGCACGGGUGCGUAACGCGUAUGCAAUCUACCUUUUACAGAGGGAUAGCCCAGAGAAAUUUGGAUUAAUACCUCAUAGUAUCUUUGCCUGGCAUCAGGUGAUUAUUAAAGUUCCAACGGUAAAAGAUGAGCAUGCGUCCUAUUAGCGAGAUGGUAAGGUAACGGCUUACCAUGGCAACGAUAGGUAGGGGUCCUGAGAGGGAGAUCCCCCACACUGGUACUGAGACACGGACCAGACUCCUACGGGAGGCAGCAGUGAGGAAUAUUGGACAAUGGGCGCAAGCCUGAUCCAGCCAUGCCGCGUGCAGGAAGAAGCAUCUAUGGUGUGUAAACUGCUUUUGUACGGGAAGAAACACUCCCUCGUGAGGGAGCUUGACGGUACCGUAAGAAUAAGGAUCGGCUAACCCCGUGCCAGCCGCCGCAGUAACAC
rnacentral:rRNA from 1 species